rnacentral:rRNA from 1 species
UACGUAGGGUGCAAGCGUUGUCCGGAAUUAUUGGGCGUAAAGAGCGUGUAGGCGGCUCGGAAAGUCUGGUGUGAAAUCUUGGGGCUCAACCCCCAGCUGUCGCUGGAUACUGUCGAGCUGAAUCCGGAAGAGGAGUGUGGAAUUCCUGGUGUAGCGGUGGAAUGCGCAGACUAGUCAGGAGGAACACCGAUGGCGAAGGCAGCACUCUGGUACGUGAUUGACGCUGAGACGCGAAAGCGUGGGUAGCAAACAGG